AUUGAACGCUGGCGGUAGGCCUAACACAUGCAAGUCGAGCGGCUGCAGGGUGAUUGCUCCUGGUUACAGCGGGGGACGGGCGAGUAAUGCAUAGGAAUAUGCCUGUUAGCGGGGGAUAACGUCCGGAAGCGGGGGCUAAUACCGCAAAACCCCAGAGGGAGUAAGGGGGGAAGCAUGGGACCUCAGGAUCUUACACGAGUCUAUGAGGCUAGGUCGGAUUAGCUAGUUGGUGGGGUAAAGGCCCACCAAGGCGACGAUCCGUAGCUGGUCUGAGAGGAUGAUCAGUCACACUGGAACUGAGGCACGGUCCAGACUCCUACGGGAGGCAGCAGUGGGGAAUAUUGGACAAUGGGCGAAAGCCUGAUCCAGCCAUGCCGCGUGUGUGAAGAAGGUCUUCGGAUUGUAAAGCACUUUAAGUUGGGAGGAAGGGCAGUAAGUUAAUACCUUGCUGUUUUGACGUUACCAACAGAAUAAGCACCGGCUAACUUCGUG
rnacentral:rRNA from 1 species